AUUGAACGCUGGCGGCAUGCUUUACACAUGCAAGUCGAACGGUAACAGGCCGCAAGGUGCUGACGAGUGGCGAACGGGUGAGUAAUGCAUCGGAACGUGCCCAGUCGUGGGGGAUAACGCAGCGAAAGCUGUGCUAAUACCGCAUACGAUCUACGGAUGAAAGCGGGGGACCGUAGGGCCUCGCGCGAUUGGAGCGGCCGAUGUCAGAUUAGCUAGUUGGUGGGGUAAAGGCCCACCAAGGCGACGAUCUGUAGCUGGUCUGAGAGGACGACCAGCCACACUGGGACUGAGACACGGCCCAGACUCCUACGGGAGGCAGCAGUGGGGAAUUUUGGACAAUGGGCGCAAGCCUGAUCCAGCAACGCCGCGUGCAGGAAGAAGGCCUUCGGGUUGUAAACUGCUUUUGUACGGAACGAAACGGUCUGGGUUAAUACCCUGGGCUAAUGACGGUACCGUAAGAAUAAGCACCGGCUAACUACGUGCCAGCAGCCGCGGUAACAC
rnacentral:rRNA from 1 species